rnacentral:rRNA from 1 species
UACGGAGGGUGCAAGCGUUGUCCGGAAUCACUGGGCGUAAAGGGCGCGUAGGCGGCUCAUGAAGGCUGUGGUGAAAGUCCGGGGCUCAACCUCGGAUCGGCCGUGGCGACUCGUGGGCUGGAGCACUGUAGAGGCGGGUGGAAUUCCGGGUGUAGCGGUGGAAUGCGUAGAGAUCCGGAAGAACACCAACGGCGAAAGCACUCUGCUGGGCCGACACUGACACUGAGAGACGAAAGCUAGGGGGAGCGAAUGGG